rnacentral:tRNA from 1 species
GGGAAUGUGGCUUAGUGGUAGAGUGCUUGCCUAGCAUGCAUGAAGCCCUAGGUUCGACUCCUCAGUACCA